rnacentral:lncRNA from 1 species
AAAACAUAUUUGCAGUCUACCUGCUGCAGUGUGCAGAUGUUGAGGGCGCAUCUACAUUGAGCACAGCGGUAGUGGGAGGGCCAGUCUGUCAUCAUUACGGGAAGAAACAUUCAUUUUUCAGCCAAACUCUAUCGCAGUAUGUUGAAUAUCCACACAUCGAUACAGCUGACGCUCUGCGCUUGUUUGCAUGACGGCUUUUAGGAAGGGAGUGUGAAAUAAGUCGCAGUCAGCCGGUAUUCACAGCACACAGCAAUGAGCACUAGGACAGGUGGUAAAAUUCUGAAAUGACUGACUACCUUAAAAGUGCAGCACUAUUGCGGUCUAGGCCCUUACACACUAAAGACUAGCGCCGACAGUCAUGAGAACUGAAGUUGUUAUUCUGCAGCAGCCGAUGUCUGUGUGUGUACCACCAAACCAUGAGGUGACCUUAAGAGUUCAAGCAAUAGGCACUGGUGCAUUAAAGUAUCAGUGGUUUGAUAAACAACAGGCAGAGGUGGCAGGUGGGACAGAGCCUGAGCUCACCGUCUCUCUCCAGAGAUCUGGAAAAUAUACUUGUAGAGUGAGUGACCUGUACUGUAACUAUCAGUUCACAGAAUGGGUAAAAGUGAGAAUCCUAGAUGAAGCAGGUGUUUCUCACACAUGGAGAGGGGAACCCCAUAUUGUCAUUCACCCAAUAAGCCAAACAGUAAAACCAGGGGAGACAUUCACUCUUAAAUGCAC